GGCUAGGUAACAUAAUGGUAAUGUAAAAGAUUGCAAAUCUUUUAAUAGCGGUUCAAAUCCGCUCUUAGCUUACA
rnacentral:tRNA from 1 species